UUUUGACCUUUACUAUUUGGUGAAUUACAUUUGUCUCCCCUUGAAUAAGCAAAUAUGGAAAUUUGACUUCACAAAGAACCCAAUAAUGGUCUGUGUCAUUUCUUAGUCAAGUUUUUUAGACAAUGUGUGUUGUCUAUGGUUGUACAUCUAUUAUUUGGAGAGUUCAGAGUUGGUGUUAUGUAUGAUCUGUUAUAUUCAAUAUGUU
rnacentral:lncRNA from 1 species